AUGAACGCUGGCGGCGUGCUUAACCCAUGCAAGUCGAACGAAGCACUUUAACCUGAUUCUUCGGAUGAAGGUUUUUGUGACUGAGUGGCGGACGGGUGAGUAACGCGUGGGUAACCUGCCUCAUACAGGGGGAUAACAGUUAGAAAUGACUGCUAAUACCGCAUAAGACCACAGAGCCGCAUGGCUCGGUGGGAAAAACUCCGGUGGUAUGAGAUGGACCCGCGUCUGAUUAGGUAGUUGGUGGGGUAACGGCCUACCAAGCCAACGAUCAGUAGCCGACCUGAGAGGGUGACCGGCCACAUUGGGACUGAGACACGGCCCAAACUCCUACGGGAGGCAGCAGUGGGGAAUAUUGCACAAUGGGGGAAACCCUGAUGCAGCGACGCCGCGUGAGCGAAGAAGUAUUUCGGUAUGUAAAGCUCUAUCAGCAGGGAAGAAAAUGACGGUACCUGACUAAGAAGCACCGGCUAAAUACGUG
rnacentral:rRNA from 1 species